rnacentral:lncRNA from 1 species
UUUUUUUAUUUUUAUUUUUUUUAGAAAGAAUUAACUUUUAGACAUGAAAACAAUUUAUGAGAUAAAAAUGUGUACUAAAUAGAAUGAAUUCACAGAUUAUAGAUUGCAGAAGAAAGGGUUGGUGAAUUAGAAGAUAUGCAAUAGAAACUAUCCAAAUGAAACAAAGAGGGAAUGUCUUUUUUUUUUUUUUAAUAAAAAGAAUAUCUGGGAAGCCCGGGUGGCUCAGCCGUUUAGCACUGCCUUCAGCCCAGGGUGUGAUCCUGGAGAUCCAGGAUCGAGUCCCACAUUGGGUUCCCUGCAUGGAGCCUGCUUCUCCCUCUGCCUGUGUCUCUGCCUCUCUCUCUCUCUCUCUCUCCUCUCUCUCCUCUCUCUCUCUAUAUCUCUCAUGGAUAAAUAAAUAAAAUUUUUAAAAAAGUAAAAAUAAAAAAAUAAAAAGAAUAUCCAUGAGAUAUCAGACAACUUCAAGAGGCCUAACAUAUGUGUGAUUUUAGUACUUGAAGUAGAGGAUGAAGAAGCAAAAAAUAAAAAUAUAUUUGAGGAAAUACUAGUUGAAACUUUAAACACACUGAUCCAAGAAAUUCAAGAAAUACCAAGCAAAUCCUGCCAGAAAAAACACACACACACACAAAAAUGAAGAAAACUACACCAAAGCACAUCAUAAUCCAGUUGCUCAAAAAAAGUGAUAAAUAGGAAAUCUUAAAAGCAGUCAGAAAAAAAUACAUAUAACAAAAAGAGUGAAAACAAUGAUUGGAGAUUUGUCUUUGCCAGCAACACAAAUGAGAAUAAAAUGGAAUAACCCUAAAGUACAAAAAGAAUACAGAAACUGACUACAGUGAAAAUAUCUUUCAAAAAUAAAGGUAAAACAUUCUUUCAAUAAUACUAAAGGUGAAAUAACUCAUCACUCACUCAAAGAAAUGUUAAGAAGUCCUUCAAGCAUAAGAAAAGAGAUACUAGAGGGCAAUAUAGAUAGACAUUCGGGAAUUAAGGUGUAAAUUUUUCUUUUUUAAAAAUAUUUUAUUUAUUUAUUUGAACGAGAGAGAGAGCAUGAUUGGGGCAGGUAUGCAGAGGCAGAGGGAGAAACAGUUUCUCUGCUGAGCAGGAAUCCUGAUUUGGGGCUCAAUCCCAGGAUCCCAAGAUCAUGACCUGAGCUGAAGGUAGACUCUUAACCAGCUGAGCCACCCAGAUGCCUCAAGAAGUAAAUUUUUCUUUAUUCCGGAUGACAUUAUUGUCUAUGCAGAAAAUCUAAUGGAUUUUCCAAUGUAACCAAUUGGAUCUAGAAGGAAAGCUACAAAAAAAUAAUUGAAUUCAGCAAGGUUACAUGAUAAAAGAUCAAUAUUUAAAAAUUCAUUACUACUUAUAUAUUAGCAACAUUGAGGAUUUGAAAAACUUAAAAACUAUACUAUUUACAAUAUCAAAAUAUGAAAUACUUGGCCAUAACUCUAACCAACUAUAUGAAAGACCAGCAUAAUGAAUAUUGCAAAACAUUUAUGAACAAAAUUUAAUGAAAAGUUAUACUGUAUUAAUGGAUAGGAAGAAUCAAUAUUUUUAAGAUUUCAGUUCCCUCCCAACUAUUGAUUUAAAAUAAUUCAAAUAAAAAUCCCAGUAGGCUAUUGUGGAUAAUGCAGCUAUAAACAUCAGGAUGCAUGUAUCCCUUUCAAUUAGUAUUUUUGUAUUCUUUGGGUAAAUUCUUGGUAGUGUAAUUGCUGCAUCAUAGGAUAGUUCUAAACAGCACCAGUGCCCAUUGACUGAUGAAUAAAGAAGAUAUGGUAUGUACAUUUCUAUUACAAACUUAAAGGAAUAUUAUUCAGUCAUAAAAAAGAUGAAGUCUUGCCAUUUGCAAUACAGCUAAAGAGUAUUAUGCUAAGCAAAAUAAGUCAAUCAGAGAAAGACAAAUACCAUAUGAUUUCACUCAUAUAUGUAAUUAAGGAAACAAAACAAAUGAGCAAAGGGCAAAAAAAGAUAGAGGUAAACCAGGAAACAGAUUCUUAACUAUAGAGAACAAACUAUAGUUUGUUCAAUCAACAACAUGAUUGCCAGAUGGGAGGUAGAUGGAGGUAUGGGUGAAACAGGUGAUAGGGGCUAAGAAGUGCACUUGUGAUGACCACUGGGUAUUAUGUGGAAGUGCUGAAUCACGACAUUGUAUACCCCAAACUAAUAUGACACAGUAUGUUAACUAACUGGAAUUUAAAAACUUAAAAAAAAUCCCAGCAGGCAUUUUUGUAGAAAUAGUAAAGUUGUUAUAAACUUUAUAUGGAAAUGCAGCUGACCUAGAAUAAUAAGAAAGCUUUGGCUAAGAAGAAAACAGUUGAAAGGCUAACAUUUCCUGAACUAAAGACUUAAAAUAAAGCUACAAAAAUCAAGACAGUGAAGUACUGGCAUUAAGAUAAAAAAAUAUAUCAACAGAACAGAGUCCAGAAAUCUCUCUCUCCCUUUUUCUUAUUAAACACACACACACACACACACACACACACACACACACACGAAAUUCAAUGAAGAAAGAGAAGAUAAUUCUUAUCAACAAAUGGUUAUGGAAUACAUUAGUUAUCCUUCUGUAAAAAAUUUUAACUUUUAUCCAUAUCUUGUACCUAUAUAAAAAUUAACUUCAAAUGGGUCAUAAUUCUAAAUGUAAAACCCCAAAUUUAAAAACUGAUAGAAAAAGCAUAUGAGAAAAUCUCUGUGGCAUAGGUUAGGUGAUAAUUUUAUAUUUAAUACACCAAAAUCAUAAUCAUAAAUGAAUAUAAUGAUAAAUUUUACUUAUUCAAAAUUAAAUUAUCCUGCUCUUCUAGAUACUGCUAAGAUAGUUUAAAAACAAGCCAAAUACUGGGAAAAAAAUCUUAGGAAAUCACAUACCUGACUAAGGGUUUAUAUACAGAAUAUAUAAAGAACUCACAAGAGUCAAUAAUAAAAAGCCAAAUAACUCAAUAAAAAUUAAGCAAAGAUUUGAAGAGAAAAUUUACUAAAGGUGACAUAUAAAUAGAAAAUAAGUAUAUAAAAGGAUAUUCAACAUCAUUAGUUGUUAGGGAAAUGCAAAUCAAACGCACAAUCAGA